CCCAGUACUAAGCCGCAGAAUCUCCUGAGGACUCUCCCGCGGGGUGCAAACCCGGCCCCGUCUGCUCUUAGAAAUAAAGUGACACUGGGACACAGGUGCACCCGUUUGUUUAUGGACCGCCUACAGCCGCUUUCGGUCCAUGAC